rnacentral:siRNA from 1 species
ACCCGCUUACCCGAAUGCCCACCC